rnacentral:rRNA from 1 species
GAUGAACGCUGGCGGCGUGCCUAAUACAUGCAAGUCGAGCGGUAAGGCUCCUGCAGUUUAUUUGAUUAUGAUUGCGCUCGCAGAGUAAACCAGUUUACUGGUGUGCGAAGCGAAGGCAAUCACAACAGACCCAAUCAACCCCGGCUAGGGAAGGGACGGCGAGGGAAAAUCGAAUGAAGUGCUGGAGUACACGAGCGGCGGACGGCUGAGUAACGCGUAGGAACGUACCCCAAACUGAGGGAUAAGCACCAGAAAUGGUGUCUAAUACCGCAUGUGCUCUAAGGAGUAAAGCUUCGGCGGUUUGGGAACGGCCUGCGUACGAUUAGAUUGUUGGUGAGGUAAUGGCUCACCAAGUCGACGAUCGUUAGCUGGUCUGAGAGGAUGAUCAGCCAGACUGGGACUGAGAACGGCCCAGACUCCUACGGGAGGCAGCAGUAGGGAAUUUUCCACAAUGGACGAAAGUCUGAUGGAGCAACGCCGCGUGCAGG